GAUUUAAUGAAUUUACUUAAAUGGGUCUGUUUAUAUCUAUUAUAUUUGAUGGGAUCAAAAUAUAAUUUAAUCCCACUAUCAAUUCAACCUUAGCAAUUUUUGCGAUAGGAUGAGCUUUUUUAUAUGAGAGGCUUGCAUAGCUUCUGGAAACAGUCAAAAUUUAGUCAGAUUACCGCUGUUAUCUUUAUUUAUGUGUCGCUCUAGCUACAAAAAACAUAAAAACAUAGUGAGACUACUUGGUUUUGUAACUAACGGAGAAAUCAAACUUCUUACUACGAGUACGUGUCUCAUGGGAAUUUAUAUGACAUUUGGCAUGCAAUUGCAAUGGGAAGCAAGGUACAAAAUUGCAGUGGAUGUGGCAAAGGGAUUGUGUUACCUCACCAUGAUUGCUCUCCAAUAAUCAUACAAUGAGAUGUGAAAUCGAAUAUCAUACUGUUUGAUUCAGACUUUGAGGCUCAUCUUGCUGAAUUUUGUCUGGCCAAGUUCUUGAGGCGCUCUGGUACUUUGAGUAAAUGUCAUGUAUUGCUGGAUCUUUUGGAUAUAUUGCACAGGGGUAAGGUUCUCGAGGUACUUAAGAAUUUGUCUGGUAGGAGUGUUUAAGUGAUUGUGGUGACACAUGGUGGUUGUUUCUUGGAGUGGGAGAUCUUGAGUGCAAGGGUAUGGGAAUUCCAGUUGGGAAACUCGCUUUGUAUACUGCACUUGGAGGAAUUAGGCCGUAUGUGCUUGGGGAUCCACCGACUGAUAAAAUUGUACUCGGAUUAGCUGCAGAAAGCAAUCUUAAACCAGCGACUCUAAAACUUUUUGAGAGAUCCCUUUUUUAUUGUAUGUGUGGAUGCGAAAGUUGACGAAGCCGUUGAUCUGACACAUGCUGCUCUAUUCUACAAUCAGGUCCAAUACUGUUGUGCUGAAUCACAUAUAUUUGUGCAUGAACGUGCCUAUGAUGAGUUCGUAGAUAAAGCAAGGGGUAAAGCCUUGCAAAAUGCGACAUUGUAUGUCUCUUGAGUUAUAUAUAAAAAGCAAUUUCAAAGAUGCCAUACAUUGAGCAAUGGUUUCCCCUCAUUACUUUAUGUUCUUUUGAAGAAAUUACGCGUAACUGAAAGCAUAGAUAUCAUAGUAAGAGUUCAUAGUUGCUUGCAGGGGUUACCAAGAAAUACCUUGACAGUAACACGUCCCUAGUCCCUAAAUAAGUUGAAGAACCUUGCAUCAAUAGCAACUCCAGCAAAAACAUGUGAGCAGAAAGCAACAUAUAUACUGACGAUUCAGGAUCGGAUUCACUGGUGGAUGAGGACGCGGACGAAAAUGCAGGCCCCCUUAAGAUAGGCCGCAGGAAAAGGCGCAUCGAGGAUUCUAAGUCAUCUGAGGAAACUGGUGUCGGUGGGCAAGAACGCUCCAAGACAACAUUAGUAGAAUACUUUGUUUCUAACAAGUUAACGUAUGGGUCUGCCCUGCUGAUGUCCAUAUUUAUUUUUGUCAUGUUUUAUGGGUCACAACGGAAUUAUUAGAUUUUGUUUUCUUUUGUUAUGAAAGUUAUGGCAUGGACGUUUUUGGUUUUCAUUGUUUGUUAUGUUUGU